GUUGUAUAGUCAAGUAAUUAAGUGCAUGUGGUGGAUGCCUUGGCAGUCAGAGGCGAUGAAAGACGUGAUAGCCUGCGAAAAGCUCCGGGGAGGCGGCAAAUAUCCUUUGAUCCGGAGAUGUCUGAAUGGGGGAACCCACCUACUUUAAGGUAGGUAUUGCAACAUGAAUACAUAGUGUUGCAAGGCGAACGAGGGGAAGUGAAACAUCUCAGUACCCUUAGGAAAAGAAAUCAAUUGAGAUUCCCUCAGUAGCGGCGAGCGAACGGGGAUCAGCCCAUUAAGUUAUGUGUGUUUUAGUGGAACGCUCUGGGAAGUGCGAACGUAGAGGGUGAUAUUCCCGUACACGAAAGGGCACACAUAAUGAUGACGAGUAGGGCGAGGCACGUGAAACCUUGUCUGAAUAUGGGGGGACCAUCCUCCAAGGCUAAAUACUCCUGACUGACCGAUAGUGAACCAGUACCGUGAGGGAAAGGCGAAAAGAACCCCUGUGAGGGGAGUGAAAUAGAUCCUGAAACCGCAUGCAUACAAGCAGUGGGAGCACCUUCGUGGUGUGACUGCGUACCUUUUGUAUAAUGGGUCAGCGACUUAUAUUCAGUAGCAAGGUUAACCGUAUAGGGGAGCCGUAGAGAAAUCGAGUCUUAAUAGGGCGUUUAGUUGCUGGGUAUAGACCCGAAACCAGGCGAUCUAUCCAUGAGCAGGUUGAAGGUUGGGUAACACUAACUGGAGGACCGAACCCACUGUCGUUGAAAAGCCAGGGGAUGACUUGUGGAUAGGGGUGAAAGGCUAAUCAAGCCUGGUGAUAGCUGGUUCUCCCCGAAAGCUAUUUAGGUAGCGCCUCGGACGAAUACCAUAGGGGGUAGAGCACUGUUUCGGCUAGGGGGUCAUCCCGACUUACCAAACCGAUGCAAACUCCGAAUACCUAUGAGUACUAUCCGGGAGACAGACUGCGGGUGCUAACGUCCGUAGUCAAGAGGAAAACAAUCCAGACCGCCAGCUAAGGCCCCAAAAUCAUAGUUAAGUGGGAAACGAUGUGGGAAGGCAUAGACAGCUAGGAGGUUGGCUUANNNNNNNNNNNNNNNNNNNNNNNNNNNNNGAAGCAGCCACCCUUUAAAGAAAGCGUAAUAGCUCACUAGUCGAGUCGGCCUGCGCGGAAGAUGUAACGGGGCUAAAACUAUGUGCCGAAGCUGCGGAUGUAUACUUUGUAUACGUGGUAGGGGAGCGUUCUGUAAGCCGAUGAAGGUGUGUUGAGAAGCNNNNNNNNNNNNNNNNNNNNNNNNNAUGCUGGAGGUAUCAGAAGUGCGAAUGCUGACGUGAGUAACGACAAAACGGGUGAAAAACCCGUUCGCCGAAAGACCAAGGGUUCCAGUCCAACGUUAAUCGGGGCUGGGUGAGUCGACCCCUAAGGCGAGGCCGAAAGGCGUAGUCGAUGGGAAAAUGGUUAAUAUUCCAUUACUUCUGUGUAAUGCGAUGAGAGGACGGAGAAGGCUAAAUCAGCCUGGCGUUGGUUGUCCAGGUGAAAGGAUGUAGGCAUGUAUCUUAGGCAAAUCCGGGGUACUCUAUGCUGAGAUCUGAUAGCAAGCUGUACUUGUACAGCGAAGUGGUUGAUGCCAUGCUUCCAGGAAAAGUCUCUAAGCUUCAGUUACACAGGAAUCGUACCCGAAACCGACACAGGUGGUCAGGUCGAGUAGACCAAGGCGCUUGAGAGAACUCUGCUGAAGGAACUAGGCAAAAUGGUACCGUAACUUCGGGAGAAGGUACGCUGUUGUUGGUGAUGGAACUCGCUUCCUGAGCUGACGACAGCCGCAGAAACCAGGCCGCUGCAACUGUUUAUUAAAAACAUAGCACUCUGCAAACACGAAAGUGGACGUAUAGGGUGUGAUGCCUGCCCGGUGCUGGAAGGUUAAUUGAUGGGGUUAGCGUAAGCGAAGCUCUUGAUCGAAGCCCCAGUAAACGGCGGCCGUAACUAUAACGGUCCUAAGGUAGCGAAAUUCCUUGUCGGGUAAGUUCCGACCUGCACGAAUGGCAUAAUGAUGGCGGCGCUGUCUCCAGCAGAGGCUCAGUGAAAUCGAAAUCGCUGUGAAGAUGCAGUGUACCCGCGGCUAGACGGAAAGACCCCGUGAACCUUUACUGCAGCUUGACACUGAACUUUGACCUUACUUGUGUAGGAUAGGUGGGAGGCUUUGAAGCUGGAACGCUAGUUCCAGUGGAGCCGUCCUUGAAAUACCACCCUGGUAAUGUUGAGGUUCUAACUCUGUCCCGUGAUCCGGGACGAGGACCGUGUCUGGUGGGUAGUUUGACUGGGGCGGUCUCCUCCUAAAGAGUAACGGAGGAGUACGAAGGUGCGCUCAGCGUGGUCGGAAAUCACGCGUAGAGUAUAAAGGCAAAAGCGCGCUUAACUGCGAGACCCACAAGUCGAGCAGGUACGAAAGUAGGUCUUAGUGAUCCGGUGGUUCUGUAUGGAAGGGCCAUCGCUCAACGGAUAAAAGGUACUCUGGGGAUAACAGGCUGAUACCGCCCAAGAGUUCAUAUCGACGGCGGUGUUUGGCACCUCGAUGUCGGCUCAUCUCAUCCUGGGGCUGAAGCAGGUCCCAAGGGUAUGGCUGUUCGCCAUUUAAAGAGGUACGCGAGCUGGGUUUAGAACGUCGUGAGACAGUUCGGUCCCUAUCUACCGUGGGCGCUGGAAAUUUGAGAGGAUCUGCUCCUAGUACGAGAGGACCAGAGUGGACGAACCUCUGGUGUACCGGUUGUGACGCCAGUCGCAUCGCCGGGUAGCUAUGUUCGGAAGGGAUAACCGCUGAAAGCAUCUAAGCGGGA
rnacentral:rRNA from 1 species